rnacentral:rRNA from 1 species
UACGUAGGGUGCGAGCGUUGUCCGGAAUUAUUGGGCGUAAAGGGCUCGUAGGCGGUUUGUCGCGUCGGGAGUGAAAUCCACUGGCUUAACUGGUGGCUUGCUUUCGAUACGGGCAGACUGGAGGUAUGCAGGGGAGAACGGAAUUCCAGGUGUAGCGGUGAAAUGCGUAGAUAUCUGGAGGAACACCGGUGGCGAAGGCGGCAUCCUGGACCGGUAUUGACGCUGAGGCGCGAAAGCUAGGGGAGCAAACGGG